ensembl:lncRNA
AUGUAUUGUAAUGUGCAGAACAAUGCCGGUCCGGUGGUUAAAGCUUGGAGAACUUUCCAGUUCAUCAGCCCCAUCAUCACCUACAUGCGUGGGGGAUCCCAGCAGGUGGUGGUGAGGAUGCACCACGUGAGUAGGGUGAGAGGCCUGGAGACUCAACUGGUGUGGGCCAUCUCCAAGGAGACAGCCAGGCUUAGUCCAGAGGGCAUCCCCUACUGUGCCACCAAAGUGCAGUCCAUCACUUGGAUCCAGCGUGUGGCUGGCAGGGUGACCCACUAUGCGUCUCACCUCCGCCACGAGACGUCUGUGGACGUGACGCUUGGCUGCUACCAGACCCUGCUUGGUUCCACCCUGAGCAGGAACCAUCUGUUUGUGGCGGGAAAGGUCCUCCUGGGCGGCCUUGUUCAGGCCAACCACAUGGUAACUCACUAACUCAUUCUCUUUCAAGGGAAAGAGAGCGUCCCUGAGGGGAAAUGUGUUCUGUUCACUAAGAUGCUCUUUUCUUUGUCAUAGGACGAGGCCAAAUUCAUCAGUACCUAUAAUGACUUUGGACUACCUGAGUGACCCCUCCAAGCGGAAUGACAUUGAGAGGGAGCUGGCUGAGGCAAAGGUGAGUUCAUUAACUCUUUCAAGUCUCACUGAGUUCUUCCACAUGCAUGUCUUUUAUACAUCACAGUAGCUGAUAUUUAUGAAAUCAUUCCCAUUUUCUCCAAACGUGUUUUCUUGUCCUAGAUCCAUCAUGUGAACAUGAUAGAUGUCCUCUUUGAGCUGGUGCUGUUUGGGAUGAUGACAGCUCAGAAGUCCCUGAUGGUGGUAAGUAGCAUCUCACUGGAACAUGUUUUGAUAUCGCUCUAUUAGCAGUUUCACUUAAAUUCCUCAUCUCUUCUCUUCUCUUUUCUCCUCCUUUGUUUCCUUUAGCACCCUGGUGGGUUCGUGGAGCGUCUGUAUGCUCUCCUGUACUCCUUCCUGCCCACUGCUGCCAACAUGGAGCCAGAGGCUGAUAGAAUCCUACUGCUGCUCAAUGUAAGAGUCAAGAGGUUACUUCCUGUUUACUUCCAUAUUCUUAGUGUACUUCCUUUUGACUUCCUUAUUCAUGGUUAACCAGGUUUCAAUGCCAUUUUAGGGGGAGUAUUUCUAAUUGUCUCUCUCCUCUUGAUAAGCUAGUACCUCAGAGCCAUUUUCUAUGUGUUGUGUGGUGUUCUCUUCAGGGCGGACUGAUGGCUCUGCUAGAUGACAUGUUUGGCCAGCAGCUGGCCUGGUACUUUAACCCAGAGUCUCUGGUCACUGAGCUCUCCAGCCUCCUGGAGUACCACUUGGAGAACCUCAUGGCCAGCAUGUAGUCCUACUGCAGGGACCAUACUCCUUUCUCCUUCUCUCUCUCUUUUGAAGGAAUUGAGGACUUGAAGUGCUUUGUUGAACCCUGAUUAGUUAACACCCAUGAAUUUAAUGUAUUCUCUUGUUUUCUCUCUCCACAGGAUUCUUGUGACACUUUGCCACCCAACAGGGAUCUAGACACCAAUGCACUACAUUACUUUGCACUGAAUUUGACAUUUUAAAAUAAAAUAAGUUGUAGUUCAAA